rnacentral:rRNA from 1 species
AUUGAACGCUAGCGGGAUGCCUUACACAUGCAAGUCGAACGGCAGCACGGGGCAACCUGGUGGCGAGUGGCGAACGGGUGAGUAAUACAUCGGAACGUGCCCAAUCGUGGGGGAUAACGUAGCGAAAGUUACGCUAAUACCGCAUACGUCCUGAGGGAGAAAGCGGGGGACCGAAAGGCCUCGCGCGAUUGGAGCGGCCGAUGUCGGAUUAGCUAGUUGGUGGGGUAAAGGCCUACCAAGGCGACGAUCCGUAGCGGGUCUGAGAGGAUGAUCCGCCACACUGGGACUGAGAUACGGCCCAGACUCCUACGGGAGGCAGCAGUUGGGAAUCUUAGGCAAUGGACGAAAGUCUGACCUAGCGACGCCGCGUGAGGGAAGAAGGCCUUCGGGUUGUAAACCUCUGUCAUGGGGGAAGAAGGAAGUGACGGUACCCCAAGAGGAAGCCCCUGCUAACUACGUG